UCCCAUAGCCAAAUCACCCCUGAAUGCGCCCGAUCUUGUCAGCUGUCGGAAGCUAAGCAAACUUGAGCCUGGAUAGUGCUCGGAUUGGCGACCACACGUGCACAGCAGAAACGUGCGUU
rnacentral:rRNA from 1 species